UACAGAGGGUGCAAGCGUUAAUCGGAAUUACUGGGCGUAAAGCGUGCACAGACGGUUGCGUAAGUCAGAUGUGAAAGCCCCGGGCUCAACCUGGGGAAUUGCAUUUGAGACUGCGUAGCUAGGGUGCGGAAGAGGGAAGCGGAAUUCCGGUGUAGCGGUGAAAUGCGCAGAUAUCAGGAGGAACACCGGUGGCGAAGGCGGGUCUCUGGGCCGUAACUGACGCUGAGGAGCGAAAGCAUGGGGAGCGAACAGG
rnacentral:rRNA from 1 species